rnacentral:lncRNA from 1 species
AAUCUUUUGUAGAAAAAAAAUAUACGAUAUCAUUCAUUCAUUAAAUUAUAAAAGCAAAAACAUACAAGAAAAAAAAAAAGAAACACAAAAAAUAAUGGAAUUACCACGAGAAAUUAUAAAAUGGCUGCAAAAUUUAAAUUUGCCUUACUCUUUUACAAAUAUUAAAAUUGCCAGUAAUGGGAUAAUCAUUUCGGAAAUUAUAAACAUAUAUAUGCCUAAACGCAUUAAUAUGAACAGCUUAGAAAAUGGUUCUAGUAAAGAGAUAAAAAAAAAAAACUGGCAAAUCAUAAAAAAAACUCUAACCAGUUUUAAUAUACAAUUUGAUGAACUGUCAGUAAUUAAUUCAGACAAAGAAGCAUUAAAAAAUUUAUUCAUUGAUUUGUACGAAUAUUUAACAAAAAAAAAAAUGUAG